rnacentral:rRNA from 1 species
UACGUAGGGGGCAAGCGUUGUCCGGAAUUAUUGGGCGUAAAGCGCGUGUAGGCGGUCCGGUAAGUCGGCUGUGAAAGUCCAGGGCUCAACCCUGGGAUGCCGGUCGAUACUGCCGGACUAGAGUUCGGGAGAGGGAUGUGGAAUUCCAGGUGUAGCGGUGAAAUGCGUAGAUAUCUGGAGGAACACCGGUGGCGAAGGCGGCAUCCUGGACCGACACUGACGCUGAGGAGCGAAAGCCAGGGGAGCAAACGGG